rnacentral:tRNA from 2 species
GCCCAGGUGGCGGAAUUGGUAGACGCGCUAGCUUCAGGUGCUAGUGUUCUUUGGGACGUGGGAGUUCAAGUCUCCCCCUGGGCACCA